CAUGAGGCCCACGUUCCAGUCAUUGAUCGUCUCCGUCAUCCUCCGGCGUAAGUAAACGGUAUUUAAAUUUAAUAUAUAUAUCAUAAAGAGUAUUUCUAAAUAGUCAAAUCAGUAAAGAAAUUAUAACCUUUUGUGAAAUUUAAUUAUAAAUUUUGAAAUUUGUGCCAACCAGACAUUAUUUUUCUAAGAUAAUGAAUUUAAUUAUAAAUUUUAAAAUUUGAUUUGUGGGGCGUUAUAAACA
rnacentral:lncRNA from 1 species